UACGAAGGGGGCUAGCGUUGCUCGGAAUGACUGGGCGUAAGGGCGCGUAGGCGGAUGGCACAGUCAGAUGUGAAAUUCCCGGGCUCAACCUGGGGGCUGCACUUGAUACGUAUGGACUGGAGUGGGGAAGAGGGUCGUGGAAUUCCCAGUGUAGAGGUGAAAUUCGUAGAUAUUGGGAAGAACACCGGUGGCGAAGGCGGCGACCUGGUCCGAUACUGACGCUGAGGCGCGAAAGCGUGGGGAGCAAACAGG
rnacentral:rRNA from 1 species